rnacentral:rRNA from 1 species
UACGAGGGGGGCGAGCGUUGUUCGGAAUUAUUUGGCGUAAAGGGUGCGUAGGCGGUUUGGUAAGUCUGAUGUGAAAUCUAUGGGCUCAACUCAUAGUCUGCAUCGGAAACUGCCGGGCUUGAGUAUGGGAGAGGUGAGUGGAAUUCCUGGUGUAGCGGUGAAAUGCGUAGAUAUCAGGAGGAACACCUGUGGCGAAAGCGGCUCACUGGACCAUAACUGACGCUGAUGCACGAAAGCUAGGGGAGCAAACAGG